GGAGAUCCAUCAUCUCGCCCUCCAAACAAUUGCGCUGUCAAGUCGCGGGGCAGAAGUCCUCCAUACGCACCAGGCAAACUUAGCGAAGGAGAAGUUCUGCACUGCGACUUAAAAGCACACAGCAUGGAUUCUGCUCAGCCGCUCCAUGGAUGUAUUAUAAGAGCAUCCAUGCGCGGCUCUGAUUCACUUCCGUCACUCUGGAUUUGUGAAAAAGACACUAUUUGAGCGUCCAGAGCGUCCUGGACUGAGACGCAUCCAACGUUAGGAGUGACGCUAAUUCCACUACUUUUGGCGGUGACUAUACGUGUAACUAAUUACUUUUUCAAAAGUAAAUGGACUCAUUAAUCAUUACUUUUGUCUUACCUGUAAAUAGUGGACAACUUGCAGCAAUUAUCAGCAUUGUUGUGCGGCGGUGUGUGAGGAUUUUUAUGAACCUCAGUACGCCAAACGCCACAAGCUUCAGCAGGACUUUGACGACCAGGAUGGCGGUGAACACAUAGUAGGAGUACUUUACACUGGUGAAAGGUCUCCACCAUUAAACCAAUACACAUGUCGAGGAGAAAGUAGCUCAUAAUCAUGAAGGAGAUGAAAAAAGAAGGAUCCAUUCGUUGUGGUUCCUCACAGGUUGAGAGGAGCGGAGACAUCAUAUUUUAUUUUCUUCUGCAUAAGAAAUAAAAAAUAAAAGACAAAUGUAUUACACUGCUUACGAAGACAGCCGAAGACUUACCUUUCCUUGAACACGUAGAAUUACCAGUCUUCAUGCUCUUUGCACCAGUGGUGCACUCAAGUUCAUAGAUCUCUGCAGGGGUGAACACUUAAACAUCAGUCACCUCUCUUUAUCCAAAGCAUGAACAAAAUACUUAAAAGAACCACCAGCUCUCGGUUGGGUACCAAACUAGACUUUGAAAACUAUCACUAUUAGGAACUUAUAUUGUCCUCAUUUGUUUGUUUGUUUUUUAAGAAGCUCUGGAACAACAUGAAACCGUUGAGCAAAGGUGUAUGUAGGAGGGACACAAGGGACAAGUGUACAAGUUGCUCAGUAUAAAACAUGUAGCUCUUAGAGAAACCUAAGACAGAGGCCCUUACAGUGUCCUUGAAGCGCUGAAGCACUACGCCCACAAGUACAUUGAGAAGAGCAUGUUUUCCAACAUGUUUUCCAUGGGGAGGUAGCAGCCAUGUCGUUGUAUAGCACCAGAUUCCAGUCCUCCUGAGUCUGGAUCUGGAUUGACAGAUUAAAUACAAGAGAGUAACACAGACAGAGAUUAAGGCACAAAUUGCAUGAUGAUGAAAAAUGAUGAUGAUUGCACAAAUUAGGAAGUCAAAAACUAACCUGGAACACAGUGUAAGGUGUCAAAGUUUUUUUCAGUCAGUGGUGGUGUCUCUGUGCUGUAAAUGGACUGUACUUGUAUACCACCCUUCUAGUCUUCAGACCACUCAAAGCGCUUCACGCACUGAUGGCAGAACUGCUCAUCAGUAUAAAGAAACUAAUUAAGUGUUCACACACAGUUCAGUGUCUUGCCCAAGGACACUUCAACAUGUGGAGUGAGGGAAGCCAGGAUCGAACCGCCAACCUUCCAAUUGGUGGACAAUCUGCUCUAUCACUAAGCCACAGCCGCCUACAGCUUCCUGCAGCCGCUGUGUCUUAACAUUACAUUGAUCACCAAACAGGUGCAUGCCGAGAAUGCUGGAAAGAAAAUAAGAAAAUGCAGUCAGAAUCACUGAAAUGUAUGCAUCUCGAGUGAGAUAAUCAUUAUAGUAAUAGAACAGCAUUUGGGAUUUCCUGUGACAUUGGAUUUUUCUCACCAAUAAAGCAGCGAUGUGGGGAGGAAUGAUUAUUGUGUAUGCAUGUCUGUACAUGUCUAAAGCUGAAAAUGACAACCAGCUGUAGCAUGAAGAGCGCAGUUGCCCCUUGCCCCUUGCCCCUAAGUAAUUGUCUCCAACAUACUGAAAAAAACAACCAUAUUUUAAUACGCUGUUCGCAACUACUGUCUGACAACUGUAACCAUAUAUUUAAUAUUCUGUAUGUUGAUGUUAUAGAUUAUAUUGUUCUAAUAUUGUUUAAAGCUAGGGUACGUAAUAUUGGAGAAAGUAGCAACAGACAAACAGACAGCUAGAUUUUGAAAGUAUCCAACUGAAAAAUCGUACCCCCUCCCUUCAGGCCUUUCUCCAAAGCCACUCCCCAAAACACAUUUUCAUGCACAAUGAGUGCACGGCAGAGUGCCACACUCUGCCAUCACCACACUAAAUAUAAUAGUGAUGAUCUUGUUACUGAUUGUGUGUCAACACCUCAGGCUGUAGGAAGAGAAGAUGGAAAGAAAUAAAGCAAAAGAGCAAGAAAGGACAGAGGGGAAGAGAGAUACAGAUGGAGAGAGGGGGCAACAGAAAGCAAGAGCAAGGGAAAAUGCAAAGAGAGAUGGUGGUGAUAGAACUGAUAAGAAAAAGCAAGGUGAGCAGAUUAAAGUAGUUUGUGAGCCACCUGGGAAUUCAAACCCUGGACCUUUGUAUCCCCAGAGAUGGUGACUUACUGACUGCACCACUGGGGAGAAGCUGGGGAAGAACACUGCCAUGCUGGGGGUCCUCACAGAGGCUGUAGAGGGGGUUAACGGUGGUUACCGACCGAGGCUGGUCAGACGUCUUAAACGGGUAGUAACUUAAGCUAACUAAAAUGGUUAGCUAACUGAUACAAUAAAAUGUUUCCACUCAUAUUAAUAUUACAGGCAACAUUAUUACAGGUAACAUUCUUACAUGUAACGUUAGUAGUGUUCGCAAUUGCUACCUAACAUUAUGCUGACUGAAGUUGCUGUAUAAGGUAAUGUGACACUUGACAACAAAAUUAUAAAAUGACUUUCUGUGACGGAUGGAAAUAUAACGUGUAUCACUACAAAAUAAAAAAUAAAAACUACA